ACGGGUGUAGCUCAAUUGGUAGAGUAGCGGUCUCCAAAACCGUUGGUUGUGGGUUCGAGUCCUACCUCCCGUG
rnacentral:tRNA from 1 species